GCUGAGGCGCGCUGCUCUGGUGAACGUGGGCCUGCGUGCCCCUCACACACACAUAUCUGGGGCUGCGGCACCGACAGACGGACUUUGGCCGGGAUCACGUGGGGCUGCGAGGCGCACGCACGGGAGCGUGCAGUGAUCGCUGCGUGUCGCCCAGCCGUGGGGCUGUGGCAUUGGGGUACGACGCACUCAUCUGAGAGAGAGUGAGAUUACGGCCUGCACUGAGACCUUGCUGCUGUGUGCUUCCCCCAGCCUGUCUGUCAACUGCAGAGAAACGAUCCUGAGACAACUGGAUAAACCAGACAUUGACACUAACAGAGCAUGUGACUGGAGUUAAGGUCAGAGAUUAGGAGAGCGUGGGAUUGGGGCCUCAAAGAUUUAUGCACAGGGUUACAAGCGACAUAACUACAAAGUUAAAGGUACAUGUUAUUUCACAUGG
rnacentral:lncRNA from 1 species